rnacentral:rRNA from 1 species
GACGGAGGAUGCAAGCGUUAUCCGGAAUGAUUGGGCGUAAAGCGUCCGCAGGUGGCAAUGUGAGUCUGCUGUUAAAGAGUCUAGCUCAACUAGAUACAAGCAGUGGAAACUACAUAGCUAGAGUACGUUCGGGGCAGAGGGAAUUCCUGGUGUAGCGGUGAAAUGCGUAGAGAUCAGGAAGAACACCGGUGGCGAAGGCGCUCUGCUAGGCCGUAACUGACACUGAGGGACGAAAGCUAGGGGAGCGAAUGGG